AAUUAUUCUGAUGCUGCACUGAUUCAGAAACAUGAGGUGAAGUGUUCAGUGUUCAUCCUAGCUCAAGAUGUUUACACUUGAGACUAUUUUCUUGAAUAAAGAUUAAGAAUUGUGGGAGAUGAAGUGCAAAUACCUUUUGUUUGUAUUAGUUUGCAAUCUUGGGUUUUGCUCUACUUUAAUUGUUCCAGGAAUCUUUGCACUUGUACAUUUUAAAUUUUGUGAUACAUGGUAGUGUGUUUUUUGCAGUUUGUUGAUAGCAUGCUCCAGGGAGUUAAUGAAGGGAAUCUUCAUGGACAAAGCAAUUUCUGCAGCAUCUGUCCUGAACUUUUUUGGGAUAAUGACUGUGCAGAAAGCCUUGAGGUUAAAUGUGCUUCCCAGAACACAUCAUGUAUUAGAAAUUUCAGAUCAGAUUUGCAAACCAAAAGCAUUGGAAUGAAUACAUAGUGAUGCUGGAGAAUUCUCAGACUUGUCAAAUGCUCUUAAUUCUCCAUAUGAUGCUGCUACACCUGAUCGAGAUGCAUAUUUGUUCGAUGAUGUAAACACCAAUCAACUUCCUGAUGUGUUCAGAAGCUCUUUGGGAUGGGAUACAUCAGUGGAGGGCAAGCAGUCUCUGGAGCAUCAUAUACUUUUUCAAUUUCAGAACCUGACUGAAAUUAACAAAUUUUCCAGUCCCUCGCAAUGCAGCUCUAUGCCAAAUGAGAUUGAUGAUGAAACAAUAUGGAUACCAAAAAUAUCUUUUUGAAGAAGUGUCUAGUCCAUUCGGAAGUAUAUUUGAUACCACCAAACUGGUGGUUGGAAUAGGUGCUGAGAAGCCAGUGCAGUGUGGUAGGGAUGUUCGAGUGGGAAAUUUUUCUGAGGCACACAAGACUCAUUUGGGAGAUGAAGACAGUGCAGUUAUAACAAAUAAGAGAUUACGCAAACCCACUCGAAGAUAUAUUGAAGAAACAUCAGAUUUGAAAUCCAGAUGCUGCAGAGAAACUAGAGGUUUAGUUAUUCAGAAACAAAGAGGUCUGCAUGCCUCCAGAGUUCAGCGUCGGAAAAA